UCAACUUGUUAGGGAAUCACAUGUAUCUAUGGGGAAAGGAUGGCCAGCCACACAAGAGGGUGAUUUUCACUGAGGAGAAGGAGGAUGUGCCGACCAAGAUGCAUGAUGGCCAUUUUGGGGUGAAAUGGCCAUCAUGAUGGCCAAAAUCAACCUAUGCUUCUUAUGGUGUGGGAUUGUCAAGGAUGUGGACAGCUGGGCAAGUGAAAUAACCUUUUCUUUAUCAAUCACAUUGUAUCAUAUCUGAAAUUAUUAUGACUUCAAUGAAUGUCAUAUCAGAGAGCACACAAUGUUUCAAAUGUCACUUCAUUUGACCAGAGCAGAGUUCAAUAUUAUAGAAUGUGUGUAUGUGUGUCAGUAUCCUUACAAAUGUGAAAUUAUGCAUACUGUAUGACAGAUACGGGUAAGAAUUUAGUCUUUUCUCUGACACUUUAAAUGUUAUGAGUGGACCUCAUUGGACCCUUCACGAAAUCCAGGAAUGGCAACAGCUGGUGUCUGACGGUGAUCAAUUACUUUACCCAAGUGGGUGGGGGCAAUACCAUUAAGGACAAGACUGGCGAGGCCACAACCAAGGUGAUGAUGGACAUCUUCAACACCCGCGGUUCUCUUGAGGUCAUCUUGAGUGACAGAGGUUGUGAACUCUGGAUCAAGGUUUGGAUGGACGGACCAACCAGACCCUCACGGCUGCCAUGGGCAAGUCCCUUGAUGGGUACCGGGAACGGUGUGUAAAAG